CAUAGAUAAAAUUAAAAAUGUGCUGAUUAGAAAAUUCUUUUCGUAUUGGGUAGAGGUACCGUUUUUGGCCACUUUAGGGCCAAUUUUGGACACUUGAAAAAUUGAAAUAAAAUAAUUUGUAAAAAACGCAAUGACAAAAUUAAUUUUUAAAAUGUAUUCAAAGAUACUUUAACCCGCUAUUAAACUGGAAAUUCUAUUUUAUACUUUUUCAUUAAUUAAAAUAACGUAUCAAAUGUCCAAAAAUGGAGCAGUGGCCACAAAUGGUACCUCUACCCUAUCUCUGAUUAAGAAAAGUGAUUAGAAAAAAUUGGAAUGUUUUGUAAUCUUUCUGAAUUCUCAAUAAAAAUUACAAUUUUUCAAAUCGCUUCAAAAAUUUCUUAGUGAUUUAAAACUAUUUGAAAGUAAUUAAAAAAAUUGAGUAUUUUUAAAAAUGACGUAAACGAUGGUCGUUUUGACCAAAGAAUGCUACAGAACUUCCGAAUUUAUUUUUUAAAAGCGAACCGAGAUGAUCAUCAUGUCCAUAGACAGAGCACUCAUCUUGACUACGGCUCCCAUGGAGAAUAAGAUAUCUAAUAGGCAUCGUAGUUUAAAAUUUAUUUAUUUUUUUUUUACUCGGCUGAAGAACGUCAACGCCCGAUGACUACAAAACUUUUUGUAAACAGAAAGUUCGACCUGAGUAUAGCCAUGGGAUGAAUCAUAACAAUAAAUCGAUGGGCGCAAUAAAAGUUAAAAUAUUAAAUAGUAACGAAUACUAGUAUGCCUAUAGUAUUUUUUGAAGGACUUUAGACGUUUUCAAUGUAACGUCUAUUUAUAAAAAACGCGCAUCUUGUAUACUUGCCUUGUUACAGAAAAAUUAAAAAAAUCUGCUGAUUAGAAAAUGGAAUUUAAAGGCCAGUUCUUUAAUUCAAGAUUUUGAUUAGGGAAAAAUAAAAUAAAUAUACAACUUAUAAUUUGAAUAAAUUGUUUAUAAUUAAUAUUUAAUCUACAUUUAUUAUGUAUUUAAGUAAAUCUACAUAACACAACAAAUUAUUUAUAACAUAUUAAAAAACAAUAGUUAUAUUUUUUUAUUAAAUUAAAAUACU